rnacentral:misc_RNA from 1 species
GGAAGGAUCAUUCGCACUUCGAAUAUCAAACACUGUGUAAUCGAUUGUAGGGAAAUCUCAAGAUGAGAUAUGCCUUUGCAGUCCGUGAUGAUACCAGAUCACUUCGUCUAACGAAGAUUGGUCACUGUGUUAGCAAACUUCUGGGUCUGCUUUCGCUGGUUGAUUCUCCCGGCAUUUCGGUGCCACUUUUAUUCGUAAUUAACGGUAACAUGGGUUUUAAGUCAAUGACGAAAGUCAAUGGGGUUAGACCUAGCACAAUAAAGUCAACAACGAGACUCUAAGCGAUGGAUGCCUCGGCUCGGAGAUCGAUGAAGGACGCAGCGAAAUGCGAAAUGCAUUGCGAAUUGCAGAAUUCCGUGAGUCAAUAGAUUUCCUAACGCGUAUUGCGCCAUCGUGGGGUUCCUUACGAUGGCACAUCUGCCUCAGUGUUGUUGUUCACACUUUCCUAUAUUUGGAGAGUUUCUUGCGCCGAGUUCAUCUCAGGCGUGUGUUGUGCGCUAAUUUAUUAGUGUGCUCUUGCAUAAAUCAAAGUAGGCUCGGCAAUGUCGGAACUUAUACAUUAGUGACGCAUGUCGUUCUAUUCCAUCUAGGUGAUAGGAACUGAUGUGGCUUCGGCUCUCUUUUCUCUUGAACCAAUUUGCGAAUUUAAUGACAGUUGCUAUUGCGAGUGAUGCGUGCCUCCUACUUUACAACCGAACACUCUUGACCUGAGGUUGGUGAGACUACCCGCUGAAUUUAAGCAUAUUAUUAGGCGGAGGAAAGGAAACUAACCAGGAUUCCCCCAGUAACGGCGAGUGAACAGGGAUGAGCCCAUCACCGAAUCGGGUCUUGCUUGCAUUUCGGUGCAAUGCGAGGUCGGAAAUGUGGUUGAUGAGGGAAAGCCAGGUGUGCAAUUGGCGUUAAGUCCCCUGGAACGGGGUAUCAGAGAGGGUGAGAGUCCCGUCUGUUCGCCGAUCAGCGCAUCGUACGGCUUUUUCUCUUGGGAGUCGCGCUCCUUGGAAGUGGAGCGCAAAUGGGUGGUACAUUUCAUCCAAGGCUAAAUAUUGCUCCGAGACCGAUAGCGAACAAGUACCGUGAGGGAAAGGUGAAAAGGACUUUGAAAAGAGAGUUAAAUAGUGCCUGAAAUCGCUUAGGGGGAAGCGAAUGAGGCCUAUUCGUUCUGCUUGGAGUUCGCUCUAAGUUGAAGUCGAUGUCAGUCCUGGAUAUAGUGAAAAGCGGUCGCGUUAGUCAGUUUGGGCAGCUUGCUGUUCCUUACGGUGGUGCGUGACAUGUCUUCUGCUAGUGGUCCGAACUGAGGAACCUGCGCUUGCUUGUUCUACUCUGGGUUAGUGUUGUGUUGCAAUUGUGGUUAUGGCCUCUCGGUUCAUGUCUAUAAUUGUCGGUGCUGCGCGCUCUUAGUACAGGUGAGUUGAGGAUAUCGGCGAUUUAUGAAUGGCCGCAUUCGACCCGUCUUGAAACACGGACCAAGGAGUCUAACGUGUGCGCGAGUAUGGGGGUGCUAAAACCCUCGGGCGUAAUGAAAGUGAGAUUUAUUCUACGUGUUGGUCGCUCUUCUUCGGAAGAGCUUCUCCAAUAGCCGACCUUGAUCUUCGGUGAGAGGUUUGAGUCCGAGCGUACCCGUUAGGACCCGAAAGGUGGUGAACUAUGCCUGAGUAGGGUGAAGCCAGGGGAAACUCUGGUGGAGGCUCGUAGCGAUACUGACGUGCAAAUCGUUCGUCGAACUUGGGUAUAGGGGCGAAAGACUAAUCGAACCACCUAGUAGCUGGUUCCCUC